rnacentral:tRNA from 1 species
GUUUUAAUAGUUUAAAAAAAACAUUAGUCUUGUAAACUAAAAAUAAAAAAUUUUUUUUUAAAACU